rnacentral:rRNA from 1 species
AUUGCCCCAGUAACGGCGAGUGAAGCGGCAAGAGCUCAAAUUUGAAAGCUGGCCCCCUCGGGGUCCGCAUUGUAAUUUGCAGAGGAUGCUUCGGGAGCGGUCCCCGUCUAAGUGCCCUGGAACGGGCCGUCAUAGAGGGUGAGAAUCCCGUAUGGGACGGGGUGUCCGCGCCCGUGUGAAGCUCCUUCGACGAGUCGAGUUGUUUGGGAAUGCAGCUCUAAAUGGGUGGUAAAUUUCAUCUAAAGCUAAAUAUUGGCCGGAGACCGAUAGCGCACAAGUAGAGUGAUCGAAAGAUGAAAAGCACUUUGAAAAGAGAGUUAAAAAGCACGUGAAAUUGUUGAAAGGGAAGCGCUUGCGACCAGACUCGCCCGCGGGGUUCAGCCGGCACUCGUGCCGGUGUACUUCCCCGCGGGCGGGCCAGCGUCGGUUUGGGCGGCCGGUCAAAGGCCCUCGGAAUGUAACGCCUCUCGGGGCGUCUUAUAGCCGAGGGUGCCAUGCGGCCUGCCCGGACCGAGGAACGCGCUUCGGCUCGGACGCUGGCAUAAUGGUCGUAAGCGACCCGUCUUGAAACACGGACCAAGGAGUCUAACAUCUACGCGAGUGUUCGGGUGUCAAACCCGUGCGCGCAGUGAAAGCGAACGGAGGUGGGAACCCUCACGGGUGCACCAUCGACCGAUCCUGAUGUCUUCGGAUGGAUUUGAGUAAGAGCGUAGCUGUUGGGACCCGAAAGAUGGUGAACUAUGCCUGAAUAGGGCGAAGCCAGAGGAAACUCUGGUGGAGGCUCGCAGCGGUUCUGACGUGCAAAUCGAUCGUCAAAUUUGGGUAUAGGGCGAAAGACUAAU